AUGUAUGGGCUAGUGUAUGGACUAGUGUAUGGGCUAGUGUAUGGGCUAUUGUAUGGGCUAGUGUAUGGACUAGUGUAUGGGCUAGUGUAUGGGCAAGUGUAUGGGCUAGUGUAUGGGCUAGUGUAUGGACUAGUGUAUGGGCUAGUGUAUGGACUAGUGUAUGGGCUAGUGUAUUGGCUAGUGUAUGGACUAGUGUAUGGGCUAGUGUAUGGGCUAGUGUAUGGGCUAGUGUAUGGGCUAGUGUAUGGACUAGUGUAUGGGCUAGUGUAUGGGCUAGUGUAUGGACUAGUGUAUGGGCUAGUGUAUGGGCUAGUGUAUGGGCUAGUGUAUGGGCUAGUGUAUGGACUAGUGUAUGGGCUAGUGUAUGGACUGGUGUAUGGGCUAGUGUAUGGGCUAUUGUAUGGGCUAGUGUAUGGACUAGUGUAUGGGCUAGUGUAUGGGCUAGUGUAUGGGCUAGUGUAUGGGCUAUUGUAUGGGCUAGUGUAUGGGCUAGUGUAUGGGCUAGUGUAUGGGCUAGUGUAUGGACUAGUGUAUGGGCUAGUGUAUGGGCUAGUGUAUGGACUAGUGUAUGGGCUAGUGUAUGGACUAGUGUAUGGGCUAGUGUAUGGACUAGUGUAUGGACUAGUGUAUGGGCUAGUGUAUGGACUAGUGUAUGGGCUAGUGUAUGGACUAGUGUAUGGGCUAGUGUAUGGACUAGUGUAUGGGCUAGUGUAUGGGCUAGUGUAUGGACUAGUGUAUGGGCUAGUGUAUGGGCUAGUGUAUGGACUAGUGUAUGGACUAGUGUAUGGGCUAGUGUAUGGGCUAUUGUAUGCGCUAGUGUAUGGGCUAGUGUAUGGACUAGUGUAUGGGCUAGUGUAUGGACUAGUGUAUGGGCUAGUGUAUGGACUAGUGUAUGGGCUAGUGUAUGGGCUAGUGUAUGGACUAGUGUAUGGGCUAGUGUAUGGGCUAGUGUAUGGGCUAGUGUAUGGGCUAGUGUAUGGACUAGUGUAUGGGCUAGUGUAUGGGCUAGUGUAUGGGCUAGUGUAUGGGCUAGUGUAUGGGCUAGUGUAUGGACUAGUGUAUGGACUAGUGUAUGGGUGA
rnacentral:lncRNA from 1 species